AUAAAAAACUCGAUUUUUAGAGUUAUUUUCAAUUGAGUCCAGCACACGUAAAUCGUAGUAUGUUUCUAAAAUAUUUUGACGGAAGUGAUGUAGUGGUGA